rnacentral:rRNA from 1 species
AUUGAACGCUGGCGGCAGGCCUAACACAUGCAAGUCGAGCGGAUGAGAGGGGCUUGCUCCUCGAUUCAGCAGCGGACGGGUGAGUAAUGCCUAGGAAUCUGCCUAGUAGUGGGGGACAACGUUUCGAAAGGAACGCUAAUACCGCAUACGUCCUACGGGAGAAAGUGGGGGAUCUUCGGACCUCACGCUAUUAGAUGAGCCUAGGUCGGAUUAGCUAGUUGGUAGGGUAAAGGCCUACCAAGGCGACGAUCCGUAACUGGUCUGAGAGGAUGAUCAGUCACACUGGAACUGAGACACGGUCCAGACUCCUACGGGAGGCAGCAGUGGGGAAUAUUGGACAAUGGGCGAAAGCCUGAUCCAGCCAUGCCGCGUGUGUGAAGAAGGCCUUCGGGUCGUAAAGCACUUUAAGUUGGGAGGAAGGGCUCAUAGCGAAUACCUGUGAGUUUUGACGUUACCAACAGAAUAAGCACCGGCUAACUUCGUGCCAGCCGCCGCCGUAA